rnacentral:rRNA from 1 species
UUGGUUAAGUUAGAAAGGGCGCACGGUGGAUGCCUUGGCACUAGGAGCCGAAGAAGGACGGGACUAACACCGAUAUGCUUUGGGGAGCUGUACGUAAGCGUUGAUCCAGAGAUUUCCGAAUGGGGGAACCCACUAUCUUUAGUCGGAUAGUAUCCUUACGUGAAUACAUAGCGUGAGGAAGGCAGACCCAGGGAACUGAAACAUCUAAGUACCUGGAGGAAGAGAAAGAAAAAUCGAUUUCCUGAGUAGCGGCGAGCGAAACGGAAAGAGCCCAAACCAAGAAGCUUGCUUCUUGGGGUUGUAGGACACUCUAUACGGAGUUACAAAAGAAAGUUAUAAAUGAAGCGGUCUGGAAAGGCCCGCCAAAGACGGUAACAGCCCGGUAGUUGAAAUGGCUUUCCCUCCAGAGUGGAUCCUGAGUACGGCGGAACACGUGAAAUUCCGUCGGAAUCCGGGAGGACCAUCUCCCAAGGCUAAAUACUCCCUAGUGACCGAUAGUGAACCAGUACCGUGAGGGAAAGGUGAAAAGCACCCCGGAAGGGGAGUGAAACAGUUCCUGAAACCGUGUGCCUACAAGUAGUUAGAGCCCGUUAAUGGGUGAUAGCGUGCCUUUUGUAGAAUGAACCGGCGAGUUACGAUUUGUUGCAAGGUUAAGCGGAAAAAGCGGAGCCGUAGCGAAAGCGAGUCUGAAUAGGGCGCAUAAGUAACAGGUCGUAGACCCGAAACCAGGUGAUCUACCCAUGUCCAGGAUGAAGGUAAGGUAAUACUUACUGGAGGUCCGAACCCACGCACGUUGAAAAGUGCGGGGAUGAGGUGUGGGUAGCGGAGAAAUUCCAAUCGAACUUGGAGAUAGCUGGUUCUCUCCGAAAUAGCUUUAGGGCUAGCCUCGAGGUAAAGAGUCAUGGAGGUAGAGCACUGUUUGGACUAGGGGCCCUUCUCGGGUUACCGAAUUCAGAUAAACUCCGAAUGCCAUGUACUUAUACUCGGGAGUCAGACUGCGAGUGAUAAGAUCCGUAGUCGAAAGGGAAACAGCCCAGACCACCAGUUAAGGUCCCCAAAUAUAUGUUAAGUGGAAAAGGAUGUGGGGUUGCUUAGACAACCAGGAUGUUGGCUUAGAAGCAGCCACCAUUGAAAGAGUGCGUAAUAGCUCACUGGUCGAGUGAC